UCUGCACAGCAAAAUCCCCACUCGUGGGCAGAGGCCCUUCCCUGCAGAGCUGGCCCAGGUCAGUUUGCUCUGGUCAGCAGACCACGGUUAGAUGACAGGCAAGCCGGGCCCUGGGAAAUGCGGGCGGCUGCUGGGGCUGCCCCAGCUCCACCGCGGCCCUGGGCUCUGGGUCAGACUUGUCUGCAGCACAGCAAACCCCUGCUGGAAUCGCUGGGACUUGUCUGCCGGGAACACCGGAGCAGAGGACGGAGUCCUGGUGAUGUGCUCUCAAAGUGUGCGGAGUUCCGAGUGGAGCCGUCUGAAUGCUUCGGAGACUAAACAGGAACACACAGAUGUGCAGUCACAGAGGCCCAGAUCCCCGCCAGAGGAAACAGGACCACUCUGAACUGGAGGACCGGGACCUGACUUGGGGAAAACUUCCUGGAGGAGAUGGUAUGGAAGGUGAUUCUGGGAUUGGUGCAGCAACGUGGCACCGUCCACAAGAACUAAGGCUCCCGCACCAGUCUCGGCACCUCCGUGGUGUCAUUCCUCAUGACAGCAAGGUGGUUGCUGUGGCUCCAGGCUCUGCGGCUAUGUUACAGCAUCCACAGCAGGAAACGCAAGGAGACAUUUGGUUACCAUGACUGUGAGCCACCAACAUCCAGUGGGUAGAGGUCAGAGAGGCUGCUGCAGGGAGCAAGUCCUUACAAAGGAGCAUUCCCGAAACGUCAACAGCCCCGAGGAGAGAAGCCCUGGUCUCAGCUGACUGGGUGCCCUCAGCCCCAUCUGGAGCUUGGGCACCAAGGAUCCAGUCUCACGGUUCAGCUGCCGUGGAAGCCCAGACACGCCAGGAUCCCGGAGGCGCUGCAAAGCCACAACCACGUGAUGUUCCAGGGAAGUUCGAAUGUGAAAAAUGCAGCGUGGAGGCCAUCAGAGGUCUCGGAUGGGCGGGGGAAGACUUUCCACACAGCCGUGUGCUCCUGUUCGUCUGCGAGCACAGACGCGAGCCAGGUCUGCGGUUCCCAGCACACCCCCUCCGGGAAGCACAGGCUGCCUCGUGCCGACCAGAUGCCGGGGGUCUUUGCAGGACGUGGCUUCCGGUCUUUCUCCUGCUGCCUCUGCAGAUUUCCGUUGCACUGCUGUAGUCAUGUAGGCUCUUGUCUAUUUCUUCCUGUGAGUUUUUCAAGGCAUCGCUAGUUUGCGGGUCUUGUUAAGAGGGGGCGUGCUGGUGGGAAGUGGGCAGGAAGCUGAGAAGCCAGCACUGCCAAUUUACCGUAAAUGCAGCUUGAAUACAACCACACCGGACCUUGGAACCUGGUCUCUGGCACUUCCGCCGGGGGUUUCUGGUUUGGCCUCGUUCUCUGAGACACGAAGUUGGCCCUCAUCAUUUUCUCGCCCCAGACAGCUUCCUUUUCCUGUUUCUGGUUUACCUGGUAUCAACCCUGAGCCUUAUUGUCUAGAAAUGUGAGUUUGAGCUCUGCUGGGUGGGUGUGGGUACAAGCACACCAACGGUGUGUGAGCUCACGCGUGUGGGCAUGGAUGGUGUCAUCUGUCUAUUCUGUUCACCCAGGUUGGCAGGGCACGUUCUGGGCCCUUUAGUAGUGAGGACGUGGUUCUCCUUCCAGCACACUCACACUGGGAAACCAACAGCUGACAAGGAGAAGAAGUUCUGCUCCAAGGGAAAACAACAGACUUUAAGUGAUCCAAGGGUCAACAGUAUCUAAAGGGGGAAAAAAUAAACUGGAGUGAAAAUGCAAACACAACACAGCAGACUUUGUUACCAUAGUGCUACAGGGAAAUGCAUGGCAGUGUGUGCCCACGUUAGGAAAGACCAACUGUUCACAUGAUUUAUGUCUUCUUCUAAGAACCCAGAAAGAGUAAAAUAAACCCCAAGAAAGUAGAAGAAAGGAAAAAAUUAAAAGGGUAGAAUUAAAAAAAAAUUGAAAACGGGGUGGGGGGGGCGACGCUAUGGCAUAGUGGGUUAAAGAUCCAGCCUGCAGUGCCAGCUACCCAUAUAGGCAUCAGUUCAAGUCCUGGCUGCUCCACUUCCCAUCCAGCACUCUGCUAUGGCCUGGGAAAGCAGCAGAGGGUGGCCCAGGUCCUUGGGCCCCUGCACCUGCAUAGGAGACCUGGAAGAAGCUCCUGGCUCCUGGCUUCAGAUUGGCUCAGUUCUGGUCAUUGUAGCUAUUUGGGGAGUGAACCAGCAGAUGGAAGACCUCUCUCUUUCUCUCUCUCUACCUAUCUCUGUAACUCUUCCAAAUAAAUAAAAAUACAUCUUAAAGUAAUAAAACAUAAAAACAAUGGAGAAAUGAAACAUUUAUGAAAUCCAUGCACACUAGGCAUCUUCAAAAAGUUCUUGGAAAAUGUGUAUUAUGGAAGAACUAUGCGUGGAUUCCAAAACAUUUUUGCACCCACCAAAAUAAGCUUACCUUUUAACUCUAUUUUCCAUGAACUUUUUGAAGUAUCCCUGUAUUACACUGAAACUAAAACUAGAGAUAACAGAAAAAGUAAAUAACUGCAGAGUAAUAUGAAUGUAGUUGAAAAAUUCUUAACAAAAUAUUAAAUGUGGGGCUUAUUCCAGAGACGCAAGCCUGGUUCAACCCUUAAGGCGAGCCAAGGUGAUCAGCUGUACGGAAAGGCUAAAGAAGAAAACCGUCUGAUAUUAUUCACUGGCACAGAGAAGGCAUUUGAAAAAACACCCAUUAUAAACAUUUCAGAAAAACUAGAGGUAGGGAGACUUUACCAAAACCCCACAGCCUAUCACCCACACCGUGAAAGCCUGUUUCUGCCCAGGAAUGGGAACAAGGACAAGCCGGCUGCUCUCCCCACUGACUCCAUAAGCACCGGAAGGCCUCGCCAGAACAGCAGGGCAAGAAAGGAAAUCAAGGGUGUACGGAUCAGAGAGGAAGGAAUAACUUGGUUGCCAUGUGCUGAUGCCAUGACGGUUUAUAUGGAAAAUGCUCACGAAGCUCCAAAGACAAAGGGAAGCAACACCACUACCAACUCCUCGCAUAGCAGCUGAGUUCAGCCAAGUCGCCAGAUCUAAGAAGACAACUGUAUUUCUUUCUUUCUUUUUUUUUUUUUUUUUUGACAGGCAGAGUGGACAGUGAGAGAGAGAGACAGAGAGAAAGGUCUUCCUUUGCCGCUGGUUCACCCUCCAAUGGCCGCCGCGGCCGGCGCGCUGCAGCUGGCGCACCGCGCUGAUCUGAUGGCAGGAGCCAGGAGCCAGGUGCUUUUCCUGGUCUCCCAUGGGGUGCAGGGCCCAAGCACCUGGGCCAUCCUCCACUGCACUCCCUGGCCACAGCAGAGAGCUGGCCUGGAAGAGGGGUAACCGGGACAGAAUCCGGCGCCCUGACCGGGACUAGAACCCAGUGUGCUGGCGCUGCAAGGCGGAGGAUUAGCCUAGUGAGCCACGGCGCCGGCGACAACUGUAUUUCUAUAGAUUAUCAACAAACACAGCAAGUCCAAGUUAAGGUACCGUAUCACUUACAAUCUCUCUUGAAAAGAGAUUAUGAAUGAAUCAAAAGGACAUGUACAAAACAUAUAUACUGAAAACCAUAAAAAGUUGCUGAAAUAAAUCGAAGAAGAUAUACAGAAGUAAGUGGAUCUACAUAGGGUGUUCCUCUGUUGUAAGACUCAUCAUAGAAAAAAGGUCACCUUUUCCCCAAAUAACAUAUACAAAUCAUGCAAUUCCUAUCAAAAUCUUCCACUAUUUUUCAUAGUUAAAGAUGAGCUUAUCUGAAAGUUUACAUGGGCAGGCAAGGGAACCUGAGCAGCCGAAACACUUUGAAGAAGGAGAACGCGUCUCUCUGGUUCAGUCCGAAUCCGGAGGCUCCAGAGUCAGGAAAAAAGAAGAAUGUAACUCAGGCUGAGGCUGAAGGCUGGAGAAGCUGAACUUGUGAUGGCCAAGAGCAGGAGAAGAUGGUGUUCCAGCUCCAAGAGACGGAGAGGAAGGUGGGGAGGGGGAGGGGGAGGGG